UAGUCCACGCCCUAAACGAUGCUUACUCGAUAUUCCGACCUUGUGUUGGAGUGUCCAAGCGAAAGUGAUAAGUGAACCACCUGGGGAGUACGGUCGCAAGAUUAAAACUCAAAGGAAUUGACGGGGGCCCGCACAAGCGGUGGAGCAUGUGGUUUAAUUCGACGCAACGCGAAGAACCUUACCUGGCCUUGACAUGCAGAGAACUUUCCAGAGAUGGAUUGGUGCCUUCGGGAACUCUGACACAGGUGCUGCAUGGCCGUCGUCAGCUCGUGUCGUGAGAUGUUGGGUUAAGUCCCGUAACGAGCGCAACCCCUAUCCUUAGUUGCUAGCAGGUCAUGCUGAGAACUCUAGGGAGACUGCCGGUGACAAACCGGAGGAAGGUGGGGAUGACGUCAGGUCAUCAUGGCCCUUACGGCCAGGGCUACACACGUGCUACAAUGGUGCGCACAGAGGGCCGCAAACCCGCGAGGGGGAGCCAAUCUCACAAAACGCAUCGUAGUCCGG
rnacentral:rRNA from 1 species